rnacentral:rRNA from 1 species
CCUACGGGAGGCAGCAGUAGGGAAUCUUUCACAAUGGGCGAAAGCCUGAUGGAGCAACGCCGCGUGCAGGAUGAAGGCCUUCGGGUUGUAAACUGCUUUUAUAAGCGAGAAGUAUGAUGGUAACUUAUGAAUAAGGAUCGGCUAACUACGUGCCAGCAGCCGCGGUCAUACGUAGGAUCCGAGCAUUAUCCGGAGUGACUGGGUGUAAAGAGUUGCGUAGGUGGCAUAAUAAGUAGCUAGUGAAAUCUGGUGGCUCAACCAUUCAGACUAUUAGCUAAACUGUUAAGCUCGAGACCGUUAGGGGUAACUGGAAUUUCUAGUGUAGGAGUGAAAUCCGUAGAUAUUAGAAGGAACACCAAUAGCGUAGGCAGGUUGCUGGGACGGUUCUGACACUAAGGCACGAAAGCGUAGGGAGCAAACGGGAUUAGAUACCCGUGUAGUC